AACGAACGCUGGCGGCAGGCUUAACACAUGCAAGUCGAGCGCCCCGCAAGGGGAGCGGCAGACGGGUGAGUAACGCGUGGGAAUCUACCCAUCUCUACGGAAUAACGCAUGGAAACGUGUGCUAAUACCGUAUACGUCCUUCGGGAGAAAGAUUUAUCGGAGAUGGAUGAGCCCGCGUUGGAUUAGCUAGUUGGUGGGGUAAAGGCCUACCAAGGCGACGAUCCAUAGCUGGUCCGAGAGGAUGAUCAGCCACACUGGGACUGAGACACGGCCCAGACUCCUACGGGAGGCAGCAGUGGGGAAUAUUGGACAAUGGGCACAAGCCUGAUCCAGCCAUGCCGCGUGAGUGAUGAAGGCCCUAGGGUUGUAAAGCUCUUUCACCGGUGAAGAUGAUGACGGUAACCGGAGAAGACGCCCCGGCUAACUCCGUGCCAGCCGCCGCGGUAAAAC
rnacentral:rRNA from 1 species